UUGAAAUACCACCCUUUAAUGUUUGAUGUUCUAACGUGGACCCGUUACCCGGGUUGCGGACAGUGUCUGGUGGGUAGUUUGACUGGGGCGGUCUCCUCCUAAAGAGUAACGGAGGAGCACGAAGGUUGGCUAAUCCUGGUCGGACAUCAGGAGGUUAGUGCAAUGGCAUAAGCCAGCUUGACUGCGAGCGUGACGGCGCGAGCAGGUGCGAAAGCAGGUCAUAGUGAUCCGGUGGUUCUGAAUGGAAGGGCCAUCGCUCAACGGAUAAAAGGUACUCCGGGGAUAACAGGCUGAUACCGCCCAAGAGUUCAUAUCGACGGCGGUGUUUGGCACCUCGAUGUCGGCUCAUCACAUCCUGGGGCUGAAGUAGGUCCCAAGGGUAUGGCUGUUCGCCAUUUAAAGUGGUACGCGAGCUGGGUUUAGAACGUCGUGAGACAGUUCGGUCCCUAUCUGCCGUGGGCGCUGGAGAACUGAGGGGGGCUGCUCCUAGUACGAGAGGACCGGAGUGGACGCAUCACUGGUGUUCGGGUUGUCAUGCCAAUGGCACUGCCCGGUAGCUAAAUGCGGAAGAGA
rnacentral:rRNA from 1 species